UAACUCAUAAGGUCAGACAGAGACAUAGACAGACAGAGAGAGAGCGUGACAGAAGGGGGUGGAGACGGUGGUUCCGUCUGCUCCGCCACUGCGCCGACGUGUAAACCAGCCGUCUCUCAAAAGCGAGGGACUCUCCGGUGAUGCCGGUAACGGUUCGGCGAACCUAGGGUUCUGCCAUGACCUCAUAUGGCGGCGGUAUUGAUGGUCUUCUGAGUAACCGGCACCGAUGGUUAACGGAUUCAAUGGAGAUGAAGACGACUUCCAUACGAGUUAGUUCCGACAUAUUUUCCGGCGUUUAAGCGGCGGAGAGAAGUUGCUAGGGUUCCGGUGAAGGUCCGGCAAAGUUCCGGUACUCUGAUUCAGAUGUGCGUCUUAUAACUACAGUUAGGUCGGGGUCAUAUGGCUCUUAAACCGAUGAUAUUUGUUGAUUCAGUAACCGUUGGUGCUCUGCUGACCGAUUUAGAGUCUCUGGCGAGUUCCACACCAGUGUAGAUCGAUAACCACAAAGGGCUGCACCAUGGUCAGUGGCUGGUGACGGGUAAAGGUGGUUCCGGUGAUGAAGUUGUGGUUGUUCACGUUUAUGUGGGUGGUCUGCAAUAGUGACCACCUGCGACAGAGAUGCCUCCGGAACAAGUAACAAAAUCAAGUGCACCUUAUACAAUUGGGUAUCUUGUAUGUACGUUGCUGCUCACUGACUUUUGGGUAUCUGGAAAUAUACUAUGACAUCUAAAAGGAUUUUUGAGAUACAGCGAACAGAAAGUAAGUGUGGAGCUACUUGAAGUCUGAGUCAUAAGAAAGUGGACCCGUACAAUGGAGAACUAUGUUUAAUCUUGGUAGACAAGCAUGGUGAUGCAAGAAGCAAGCAGCAGAUUGUAGAAACACCACAUUAUCUAAAUAGUGAUUAUGAUGUUAAAAUUGAUGAAGGCAAUGCCAUUGAUGUAUCUUUAACGAAUGAAAACGAAGAUGAAUAUAAAGGACUUGAUUUAAGAAUUAUGCACAUGAAAAACAGGUUUGUUGACACAUGGUUGUAUAUAUGUAACAUUUAAGGAUGUUUUUCUAAUGUAUAAUGUUUCGAAUCCGUGGAAUAUGCAGGAAUAAGGAUCUGCUGAUUGUUUUAAACAAUGCAAUUGGCUCCCGAUAUGUUUCAGAGUUUUAACAAUUUAGAUGAAAUCAAGCUUUUAAAGCCGGAUAACAAGUAUGAUCUGGCAGCUUUGCAUCCUACCUAAAGAGCACACGUGUUGUGCACUGAAAAAAAAAAAGAAAAAAAUGGAAACGUUGUAGACUCGAACCAGCACCAAAGCCAUAAACAAAUAGCCAACAAACCACUAAACUAAAGCCCAAAACACAUCAAAUAAACAAAAGCAAACCCAUAUAAACAACACCAACAUCAGAAAAAGAAAAAAAAGUAGCCAACACUAACUAAAUUGCCACCAAUGGAAAUGAGCAAUGAAAUUA
rnacentral:lncRNA from 1 species